CCUACGGGUGGCAGCAGUGGGGAAUAUUGGACAAUGGGCGAAAGCCUGAUCCAGCCAUGCCGCGUGUGUGAAGAAGGCCUUCGGGUUGUAAAGCACUUUCAGUGGGGAAGAAAGCCUUGGGGCUAAUACCCUCGAGGAAGGACAUCACCCACAGAAGAAGCACCGGCUAACUCCGUGCCAGCAGCCGCGGUAAUACGGAGGGUGCGAGCGUUAAUCGGAAUUACUGGGCGUAAAGCGCGCGUAGGCGGUCUGAUAAGCCGGUUGUGAAAGCCCCGGGCUCAACCUGGGAACGGCAUCCGGAACUGUCAGGCUAGAGUGCAGGAGAGGAAGGUAGAAUUCCCGGUGUAGCGGUGAAAUGCGUAGAGAUCGGGAGGAAUACCAGUGGCGAAGGCGGCCUUCUGGACUGACACUGACGCUGAGGUGCGAAAGCGUGGGUAGCAAACAGGAUUAGAUACCUCAGUAGUC
rnacentral:rRNA from 1 species